rnacentral:rRNA from 1 species
AAUAUUGGACAAUGGGGGGAACCCUGAUCCAGCCAUGCCGCGUGUUUGAAGAAGGUCUUCGGAUUNUCAAUCACUUUAAGUUGGGANGAAGGGUUGUAGGCUAAUACCUUGCAAUUUUGACGUUACCAACAGAAUAAGCACCGACUAACUUCUUGCCAUAAGCCGCGGUAAUACGAAGGGUGCAAGCGUUAAUCUGAAUUACUGCGCGUAAAGCGCGCGUAGGUGGUUCGUUAAGUUGGAUGUCAAAGCCCCGGGCUCAACCUGGGAACUGCAUCCAAAACUGGCGAGCUAGUGUACGGUAGAGGGUGGUGGAAUUUCCUGUGUAGCGGUGAAAUGCGUAGAUUAAGGAAGGAACACCAGUGGCGACGGCGACCACCUGGACUGAUACUGACACUGACGUGCGAAAGCGUGGGGAGCAAACAGG